UACGGAGGAGGCAAGCGUUGUUCGGAAUUACUGGGCUUAAAGGGUGCGUAGGCGGAGUCGCAGGUGUCCUGUGAAAUCCCCCGGCUUAACCGGGGAACGGCAGGGCAAACCGCGACUCUUGAGGCCAGCAGGGGGACCCGGAACUUUGGGUGGAGCGGUGAAAUGCGUAGAGAUCCAAGGGAACGCCGAUGGCGAAAGCGGGGUCCUGGGCUGGUUCUGACGCUGAGGCACGAAAGCGUGGGGAGCAAACAGG
rnacentral:rRNA from 1 species